GGAUCGGACUCCUCUGCAUUCCGCCUCGGCGCUGGGGCUGCUCCUUCGCAGGAUGAGUCCCAGCUCGCAGAACAGCCUCCCUUCGGAGACAGGUGGGAAGGAAGGCUUUCUCCUUGGCAUACAUGUGCAGGGCCUCCCUGGGGCUUCAUGUUGCCCUCAUCUUGGGAUCCAACCUCCUGUUCGGCCAGGAGCAAGCUCAAGAGUGGUGGGCGACUGUAGUGGUGGACAUAUUGCAUCAACUUGGGAAGUUAAAGGCUAGGCUGGAGGGCUCAGGGGUUUCAUGCCCUAGUGCGUGGAAGCCCCGCCUUAGGGGCCUGCCCCAGAGUGACUCAGCAUAAAAAGGAUAUAAAGGGAGUUGAGGAGGGAUUCCAUGCGCCACUUCCUUGGAGGAG